AGUGAACGCUGGCGGUAGGCCUAACACAUGCAAGUCGAACGGCAACACAGUAAGCGCUUGCUCUUACGGGUGGCGAGUGGCGGACGGGUGAGGAAUACAUCGGAAUCUACUUUUUCGUGGGGGAUAACGUAGGGAAACUUACGCUAAUACCGCAUACGACCUACGGGUGAAAUCAGGAGAUCUUCGGACCUUGCGCGAUUCAAUGAGCCGAUGUCGGAUUAGCUAGUUGGCGAGGUAAAGUCCCACCAAGGCGACGAUCCGUAGCUGGUCUGAGAGGAUGAUCGGCCACACUGGAACUGAGACACGGUCCAGACUCCUACGGGAGGCAGCAGUGGGGAAUAUUGGACAAUGGGCGCAAGCCUGAUCCAGCAAUACCGCGUGGGUGAAGAAGGCCUUCGGGUUGUAAAGCCCUUUUGUUGGGAAAGAAAAGCAGCAGGUUAAUACCCCGCUGUUCUGACGGUACCCAAAGAAUAAGCACCGGCUAACUUCGUG
rnacentral:rRNA from 1 species